rnacentral:rRNA from 1 species
GAUGAACGCUGGCGGCGUGCCUAAUACAUGCAAGUCGAGCGAACAGACGAGGAGCUUGCUCCUCUGACGUUAGCGGCGGACGGGUGAGUAACACGUGGAUAACCUACCUAUAAGACUGGGAUAACUUCGGGAAACCGGAGCUAAUACCGGAUAAUAUAUUGAACCGCAUGGUUCAAUAGUGAAAGACGGUUUUGCUGUCACUUAUAGAUGGAUCCGCGCUGCAUUAGCUAGUUGGUAAGGUAACGGCUUACCAAGGCGACGAUGCAUAGCCGACCUGAGAGGGUGAUCGGCCACACUGGAACUGAGACACGGUCCAGACUCCUACGGGAGGCAGCAGUAGGGAAUCUUCCGCAAUGGGCGAAAGCCUGACGGAGCAACGCCGCGUGAGUGAUGAAGGUCUUCGGAUCGUAAAACUCUGUUAUUAGGGAAGAACAAAUGUGUAAGUAACUGUGCACGUCUUGACGGUACCUAAUCAGAAAGCCACGGCUAACUACGUG